rnacentral:rRNA from 1 species
UACGGGGGGGGCAAGCGUUGUUCGGAAUUACUGGGCGUAAAGGGUUCGUAGGUGGCCAACUAAGUCAGACGUGAAAUCCCUCAGCUUAACUGGGGAACUGCGUCUGAUACUGGUUGGCUUGAGUGCAGGAGAGGAAUGCGGAAUUCCAGGUGUAGCGGUGAAAUGCGUUGAUAUCAUGAGGAACACUCAAGGCGAAGGCAAGCAAUUGGUGCAUUUCUGACGCUGAGCUGCGAAAGCGUGGGGAGCGAACGGG